UACGUAGGGGGCUAGCGUUGUCCGGAAUCAUUGGGCGUAAAGCGCGUGUAGGCGGCCCGGUAAGUCCGCUGUGAAAGUCGGGGGCUCAACCCUCGGAUGCCGGUGGAGUACUGUCGGGCUCGAGUACGGAAGAGGCGAGUGGAAUUCCUGGUGUAGCGGUGAAAUGCGCAGAUAUCAGGAGGAACACCGAUUGCGAAGGCAGCUCGCUGGGACGUGACUGA
rnacentral:rRNA from 1 species